rnacentral:rRNA from 1 species
UACGUAGGGCGCAAGCGUUGUCCGGAAUUAUUGGGCGUAAAGAGCGUGUAGGCGGCUCGGUAAGUCCGCUGUGAAAGUCCAGGGCUCAACCCUGGAAUGCCGGUGGAAACUGUCGAGCUAGAGUCCGGAAGAGGCGAGUGGAAUUCCAGGUGUAGCGGUGAAAUGCGCAGAUAUCUGGAGGAACACCAGUAGCGAAGGCGGUGGUCUGGGCCGGUACUGACACUGAGGAGCGAAAGCGUGGGGAGCGAACAGG